GGACCUUGCGCUAUCGGAUGAGCCNAUGUCGGAUUAGCUAGUUGGUAGGGUAGCGGCCUACCAAGCCGNCGAUCCGUACCUGGUCUGAGAGGAUGAUCAGCCACAUCGGGACUGAGACACGNCCCGAACUCCUACGGGAGGCAGCAGUGGGGAAUAUUGGACAAUGGGGGCAACCCUGAUCCANCCAUCCCGCGUGUGUGAAGAAGGCCUUCGGGUUGUAAAGCACUUUCAGCGAGGAAGAAGGCCUGCUGGCCAAUACCCAGCAGGAAGGACAUCACUCGCAGAAGAAGCACCGGCUAACUC
rnacentral:rRNA from 1 species